UUUUUUGAAAUCGACAAAUUAUGAGAUAAAAAUUGAAAAUUUUUAAAUGGGCUAAUAUUUGACGUGUAUGUUGGGUAUGGACCUAAAUGGAAAGAUGAAGGACGAAAAAAAGGAUUUGGAAACAACACAAAAUAGACCUAAAAACAAAAGAAACACAUAAUGAAACAUAACAAAAUAUGAUGUAUCCAUAAUCUCAAACAUCCCUCGUCAAAAGCAUCCUUAACAAAAUAUGAGAACAAAGAAACAACACAACACAAGAGUCUGAAUUAGGAAAACGAAAGGAGGUGGUUGUUAGUAGUAGUGUUGAUACUAUCCAUCAUCUCUAAGGUAGGGAAAGUACAUAUGGUAUUGAGCUGCAACAUCCUGAAACGGGUGCGAAUGAGGGGGAGGAUACUCUGGAUACAAAGGAUACUUGUAGCUGGAGUAAGAGUCCAGGUAGUAUACCAUAUGCCUGUUCUGCCAAUCCUGUGUCUGAUGUAUCCAAUGUGUCUUGGUAUGUACAACAUGUACCUGCUCUUUAAGAUGCUAACAAGAGUUAGUUGCCUCGCCUCUGAAAGUAGUAAGCUUAUCCCUAAUAUCUCUAAUAUCAUCCCAAGUACCCCUCAUCUUUUGUCGAACGCAGGGGAACUGGCCAACCAAAUCCAAUCUAUGUCCAAUGUGGCGAAGAACUCCCUCACGUCAUCAGGAUAAGAAUAGUCACAAACCGUCAUCACGUUCCAAAAGUUCCACGACCGACAACAGUAGGUGUGAAAUAGGGCAAGCCAUUUCCUCAUGAGGUUCUCAAGUCCUAACCUCCCCUAAAGAGCAACAAGGAGGUGAUGAAGGGUCUGGUAACAUCUCCAAACUGUGGAACCCGACACAACAUCAAAGCACUUCUCAUGGAGAUGCAGAGAGGGAGGGAGGCAUCAUGUUGAUUAGGAUAGAGACAGUUAACCUGACUAGAAGAAGCGGAAGAAGGAGAGACUUAAGAAGAGGAAGCAUCAUUCCUUUCCUCUUUUGGUAGUCUGGGGUUUCGCUCGAGGAGACACCCUGAAAUGAAAAUAGAAUGAUCAUCCCAAACAAACAAAAUGGACUCCAAAUGAUCAUCCAAACUCAAUGCACCAGUUCUAGCAAGAAAUGUCACAAAAGUUGAGAAAAGGAAACAAAUAAACUCAUGGUGUAGAAAGCAACCAAACUACUUAGGCAAAGAUGCGUACAAAAUCUCUCAACUUGAUAUGACAUUGGCAAGAUGCAAAAGAUAGGCAAAAAUAAAUGAAAAUACAACUAGUUAGUCUCAAACAAGACUAACUAGCAAUCCACAACAAAAGCAUCCUAUGAUUCAUAAAAGUUAUGGAAUCAAGCUUAACUUAUUUAGCAUAAAUUGCCACAAAGAAAUCAUCACAAAGGUGUACCAAGUUUAGUGAACAAUAAUGAGCAAAAAGACCGUAUCCAAAACAUCAAGUGACAAAGUAGGCAUCAUUCAAGCUAUAUCAAAAGGUGGGCUUAUAAAUAUAUGAUUAGAGGAACCAACAGAUUAGCUAUAUGCAUCAUGCUUCUUUGAACCAUUAACCAAAAAUAGUGAGCAACAAAUGAAUCAUCAAGAGUAAUGAUAUGACAAAAUAUGAGCAAUGAAAGCAGUUGACCAUACGUACAAUAUCAAAUUGCCAAUUGGAAGCAUCAAAAGCACCUAAAAACAACCUAGGUACAAAUAUACAAGUGAGCACAAUGAUACCGUUCCAAGUUCUCCUCACAAUGUUACAGUUCCAAGUUCUCCUCACAAUGAUUCCAUUAUCAACAUCAUUUUAUCUAACAACAUCACAUGACAAAUCUAGACAAUCCAAGUGUGAAAAACUUUCUCCAAAAACUGGCAUUUGCAAUAUUCAAAUCAGCAUAAUUCAUGAAAUUAAUCCAAUUUUUACCAUCACCAAAACUAAUUCAACACAUCAAUCAAUCAGCGCAAAUGAAACUUCCCACCUCACACUUGAAAGAUUUGUAUCACUGCAAAUGAUAGAACACAAAAAUUUCAAGCAUAAAGGUACAAGUUUGACCACUUUCAUCAAGUUCAUCAACAGUUACCAAACAAGAUCAUGCAUCAUAGAUAGCAAUGAAAACAAGUACAUGCAGUAGUAGACAGCUCAUGAAGUCAAACAUCAUCACAAAAAACACAACUAUCACUCAAUAAUAAAAGACACUAUAACGCCAAAGUGUGAGUUGCAAAUCAAAGAGGACUGUCAAUUUAGUUCUUCGUAAUGAACAACAAAAGCAGAAUCUCAUCUCGUAGUCAAAGAAAUUAGUGAAUUUCGACAACAAGAACAAGGUAAAACGUAAAGACGACUAUAUAUAAUAUUUCGCCAAGCAAUGAACACAACCUUGGUAAAAAAUGUGAGGGAAUCAUCAAACGAAACAAGCUCAUUGCAUGAUCAGAAAAAUUUCAUCAAUAAUAAUGCAAUUAGUCACCCUAAAUUGGAUACGUUGACAGCAACCUGCAAAAUUAACAGAUUCUCAGAAUUCGACAAAAUUUGAAACUUCGACAACUUCAGGGAAAAAAAAUUCAUAGCAAGAGUUGGAUUUUGAUCAAACAAGAAGUAUCAUGGGCAUAUAAAAUGACAUUCAAUCAAUGCAGCACCUGAAAAUCAGUAAGAAGAACUCAAACUCGCACAUUCCUCCGCUUUUUGUACGAAAUUUAUCAAUCAAAGCAAGAGCAUAAUUCUCAUAAAAAACGCAACAUAGGCAUCAGCGAUGUUAAACAACCAUAUGAAGUACUUAGAACUCAGUAGAAAGCUUCAAAUUUCAGAUUCAAAAAAAUGGGCACAACUUUAAAAUAUUUACGAUUUCGAUGAAAAUGAAAAGUCAAGCGAACAACAAGUUCAUAACAAGUAGAAACAUCCAAGGAACUCAUACACGACAUUGGAGCACAAAAAUCUACAAAGAUUUUGACCUAAUUAGUGUAAUUUUAGAAAUUGAAAUUUCGAGACCUAAUUUCGAAAACCGGACUAAAAUUUGGCAUAGAGUCGAAGAUGGAGCUCUUGUUUGGGUGGUGGUCGUUGCUGGGCAGAGAAGAAGCUCCUGCGAAGCUGGCCGGAGCAGAAAUGGGGGGUAGGACUGAUGGGGUGGUGGUGGCGGAGUUUGGUGGUAGUGAUGGUUUGCAAGAUGGGAGAGAGAAGAUGGAAGAGGGUGAUGGUGGUGGUGACCGCGGUGGGGUGACGAACAGAGGAGGAGGGGCUAGGAAGUGGCGAUGAUGGAAGAAUAUGAGGAAGAGGAGAGUUGGGGGAGAAAGUGAGGGUUUUGUGCAAGUUUUGGCCGAG
rnacentral:lncRNA from 1 species